AUGCCCCUGGACUUCACCAAGCACUUCGUCGCGCCGACGGAGUUCAAGCUCAGGAACAACAUCGGCUGCUCCUGGAAGGUGACGGUGAAGAUGAUGAACGGUAGGGUGACCCUGGAUCAGGGUUGGGCCACCUACGCCGCCGUUCAUCAGAUCAAGAUCGGCUACAUGGUGACGUUCAAGCUCCUCACUCCCGACACCCUCAAGGUCAUCAUCUUCGACGACGAUAGCAUUGAGGUGGUCAACAAGUGCGGGAAGCACGACGAAGCCUUCGCCGCCAAGGACUAG
rnacentral:rRNA from 1 species